UGCUCCUUGUCAGUAUGAAAUUGGAAGACCUCACGGUGCAAAUUGCCCACAGGAGCCUAGAGGGAGUCUAUCGUUCUACCUUAAUUGUAUCUUCAGGAUGAAAAGACGGGUCAUGAAAGAAGAAAGUGGUUCCAUGCCAUUCCCCAAAUUAUUUCAAGACUGAACCGAAGCUUCGCAUUCUGUGGUUGGCUUUUCCACCUGCCCUGAUCCUGUCGAAUUUUACCAUGCCUAGGUAGGUCAUGCUUUCCUCUUUCAGUCACUCUUUCCUCUAGCAAGGAUUUAUUUUGCUCCACAUUUGUGCCAGGAGUUCCAUAUUUGUGUCUAGGAGCUGAGGAUAUAACUAGGGAGCAACUCCUACUCAUGGGGUCAGGAGAUAGUCAUUAAUUAACUACCUGUAUGGGUUAUAAAACGCGAUGUAGCAGGCGUUUGGGGAACCUAUAGUAGGGAAAGUGAACGUGAUCUGUAAGAUUGGGACACUCUAGAGAUUGAGUGGAUACUAACACCUACCAAAAAGGCCCAGGAGGAUUGGGCCUCAAGAGACUCAUCUACCCUCCCACCUGGAAGACCAGUGCAGUGACUGUCCUAACUCGCCUCUUCCGCAUCCACCUUACCCUUUCCUCAUUUUGUAGCAGCUGCAUGGGUUGGGUAAGACUGACAGGCACCUAGCUCAAGGGGUAGCCUUCCUCUGGCAUGGUAAUUAGCUCAACAGUAUCACAUGACCUGGGCUGACUCAUCAAAAAAGUCCAAGGCUUUUGCCCAAGGGCAGGAUGACCCUAUGAUGCUGUGAGAAGACAUGAUGUCACUUACUACCACCGGACAAGCAGCCAGCCUCCAUCACCUGACUCCCAGUUUACUUUGUACCCCACAUUUUUUUGUGCUUUAUCCGUCUCUCUGCCCGUCCAAGUAUUAUUCAAGACCCAUAAAGCCCUUCCCUGAGCAAGCCUCCACUUUUUUCUCACGUCCACCCCCUGAAAUUUACCACACUUGAUUUUCUACUUUAAAGUCCCCAGAAGGAGUUAUUCCGCUGGGCGGUGGGUGAACGUACCAUUUGUUGACCAAUAACUGGUCACCUGGUGGUGAGGUCUGGGGUCACACCCAGGGAGGGAUGGGGAUGGCCAGGCCGUAUGGAACAGUGUGAAAGGGGUAGUGCUCUGGCCUAACGGGGAGCCAGGAGACCCGUGUUCAUUCUGGUUCCUCUGUGAUAAGCAACAAACACUUGGUAUCACUCUUUAGCUCCUAAACUGGUUUAAUGGGCGUUAGGCUUUUUUAUUUCUGAAAGUAACUCCAUGAGAUAGAGGUUGCUAAAACUUCACCUUAUUGAUGAGGACACUGGGGCUCCAAGAUGCUGAGUGAUUUCCCCACGGCCCCAAUCCGAGAAGUGGUGGAUGUGGGAUGGGAAGCUAGCGGGUCCUUCUGUCUCAGAGGCCUAAGCUCUUCACACGGCUGCCUUGCCACUGAGCACUUUGAGUUUCAGUGUUUUCAACUCUCAUAGAGAAAAAUAACCUUUAUUUGCCAGAAUUUGGGGUGGAUGAAGGGGCGACAUGGAUUUGAAAGCAUUUUGAGAAGUUCAGAGCCGUCUGCCAACGGGGGGUAGGGAGGGGAGCCUUAUCUAGGAGACAGGCCUUGAGAACGCUUCUCAUUUUUACUUCUCAUUUCCCUAAGGAUGGCUAGAAGUGAGAAACAGAUUUCCCCAAACUUCUUUGGUUGGCUUCUCAGCAGGAUGAACUUCUCAGAAGAUGGUCUGGAGCCUAAUGCUUUUGACCAUUCACUGGCUAAUUCACGGCAGAAUGGUUAUGCCCAAUCACCCCGCAUGGUAAGAACUCCCACAGCAAACGUCCCCUGCCAACCUGCCUUUGGAGGUGGGGGGGGGGGGAGCUGGAGCCGGAGGCCCUCUGCCUUCUGUCCCGGCCAAGACUCUGAUGUUUUGACAGCAGGAGCAUCAGCCCUAAGACACUGUUCACAACAGGAAGGGACAACAGCUCCUCCCCUUUGUCACGUAUCUUUCCUCUGGGUUAUCACUUCCUCCACCUUAACCUGUUUCCCCCCACAAGACUUAAGAGAUGAGUGGAGAAGGGGGGAGCUGGGUGGCUCAGUUGGUUAACGGUCCAUUAGCGGUCCAUUAGAAUGUACCAGCAUCUCAUGGCAUCCUCUUCAUGGAAGCCAGAGCAUCUCAGAGCUGGGAGAGACCUUAGGGACUACGAAGUCCUAUCCCACCUCACAGAUGAGGAGACUGAUGCUCCCUCCAAGGGUCACGGUGACAUGUUCUCAGUCAGUGGAGCCAGGACUCCUAAGGCAGGGCUUCCCAAGCUAUGCCCCCGCCACCCCUGAGGCCGGUGGCAGCGCCUCAGGGUGUUUCUGGAGAGCUGAGAGAAGGUCCAGGGGGUGAGAGAUGGGGAGGGGUGAUGGGAAGGAGGCUGGGGAAGUCUUCUUGCGACAGGGAGGCUUCCACUCCGUGCAGUAAUUUACAUGUUUGAUUCUGCAUAAGGUUGUGUUUCAUAAAAGCAAACUGUUGCUUAAGAAAGAAAAACACCAAUUUUGGAAACUACUGUUCCUUACCCAACUUCCCCUUACCUCACGUACCACAGAAAGAGGAUUUUAAAUCAGUCUUAGGUACGUGAGACCGAGGUUGCCCCUCGGUCAUCUACACCCCCAUUCCCUCUUGGCUCUUCUGGUCUUUUUCAACAUCUCCUCAAUACCUGCUCACCCACGUUUUCUGUUUUCCUUUUUUUUUUUCUUUUUGGAGAGGGGUGGUGGAGGGGCAGAGGGAGAGAGAGAGAAUCUUAAGCGGGCUCCACGCCCAGCGCCGAGCCUGACGUGGGACUUGAUCUCACGACGGUGAGACCAUGACCUGAGCUGAAAUCAAGAGUCGGAUGCUUACCCGACUGAACCACCGAGGGUUGUUUUCCUUCUUUAAAUUGUCUCCUCAGGGCGCCUGGGUGGCUCAGUCGGUUAAGCGUCUGACUUCGGCUCAGGUCACAAUCUCGCUCGAGGUUUGCGGGUUCGAGCCCCGCGACGGGCUCUGUGCCGACAGCUGGGAGCCCAGAGCCCGCUUCGGAUUCUGGGUCUCCCUCGCUCUCUGCCCCUCCCCUGCUCACGCCCUGUCUCUCUCUCUCACUCUCUUUCUCAAAAAUAGAGAAGCAUCAAAACAUUUUUGAAAACAUUGUCUCCUCAGCCCCGCUGUAUCACUUAGUCCUCCCAAAAUCUGUGAGGGAGAAGCAGACUAUUGAGCCCAUUUUCCAGAUGAGAAUCCUGAGUCCACAAGAGCGGUUUCUUGGCCCCUCUGAACGUGGCCAGGGUGGUUCCUGUUGGUACAUCCACAUCCUGAGCCUGGAGUGACCUGCUCUCUUCAGUCCCUACCUUGGCCUCGGGUAGCUGGAGAGGUAAGGAAUCUCAACAGCUCUCCUGGGGAAGAUUCAGCUCAAAUCCGCAAUUACAGAGGGCUUCUCCGGGGUCCAGCGCAUUGUCAGGCAACUGGGUGUGAUGAAAAGAACACUAACUAGCUUUGGAAACCCAGUCCCUGCCCUACUUUUUAACGGCUGUACCAUCUCGCCCAAGAUACCUGACCUCUCCAGCCCAAGUUUGUCCAUCUAAGAACGGAGGGUGAUGACGUCUAUCUCACAGGCUCAUGAGGACACGGUGUGAAAAACGCCUUGGAUGUGCAGCAGGAGCGUAAUACAUGCGAUUAGUACUGUACUUGUUUGGUACCUGGUAUCUCAUUUAAAACAUCACAAUAAUUCUGCAAGUUAGGCUAUGUGCUCGCGUACAGAGGCCGAGGACCUUACUCACGACAAUACGACGAGGUCAAACCCGGGGGUCCUUGUCCAGGGCUGGCACUGCUUCCUCUGCCCUGCCCACUAGAGGCCCUAGGACAAUCGUGGACUCCCUUCAACCACGGGGGGUGUAGCACCCAGUGCUGCCCACAGCUCGCGUUCCAGGGAGCCGUUUGUAAAGCGAAAGCCCACGGUAGGACCACCUGCUUCGAGCCAGGAGCUUCCUAAAAGCAUGCAAAAUUCUAAUGAACUCAGGGAAGGCGAGGGUCUGCUGAUGCUGAGCACUCAGUGAGGCCGGGAAGGACUGGGAGCAGCAACCGACUGUGUGGUCUGGGGCAGGUCGCCGCAGGAAGUCGUGGCGUGCCCACAAACGGACCACCUGUGCCAAGUCCCCAGAGGGAGACCUCAUGGGGGUGCCCUGCGAGUUGGUGACUGGAGAGAUAGUCCUAACUGAUGGGGCUCCAGGUCCUUUCUGAGAGCUCUGAGGUUAGUAACAUCUUCAAAGAGUAGAACCCUUGGGACCGGAGAAGCAACAGCCUCAGUCCUUCGUGUUAGUAAACAUAAAGUGCCUACAGUAGGAGACGCUCUUCUGAGUGGACACGGGUUGAAUUGGCCUGGUUAAGAGAAAAUUCAAACCUUUCCUGCCAUCAACCUCCCUGUUAUGCACAGUCAUUGAAAAUAUCUUUCUAAGUAUAUUUAAAACCUAUUUUUAAAUAUGGACUUCUAAAUAUUUAAAAAACGUAUACUUAUAAAUAAGGAAACAUUCACCAGUACGCUCUCAUUUUGAUUUUAAAGUUGCCCUCCAAGGGAAGGAAGGCUGAGGCUCGGGGAAGAUAACAUCUUUUAUUUAAAUCAUGGCAGAACACAGGUCUUUCUGAUAUCCAGCACCCUUCCUUCAGCCCUUCCUUCCCUGGGACAACCAGAAGGGGCGACUGUCCCCAGAGCCAUUCUUUCUCCUCUCGUUCUUCCUGUCCUCUGAUUUAGAGGUCACAAGAUGCAGAAAAUAAUAUGAGAUGAGGGAGCAGAACUUCCUGAGUUGGCCAGAGUCCCAGAGUGGACCCCAAAGCCUAGAGGUGUACAGGAUGGGGAAGGCAGUCAGGAGAACAGGACAGUCUGGACUUACCCGGAUGCUGUGAGAGAAGGACAAGGAUGAAGCAUGCUAGGUCUCCCAAAACCACUUGCUAAAGAGACUUAUUUCCAUUGGAUACUCUUUCCUGCUUUGUCAACAUGAUACUCUACAUGGAAAACCUGGAAGACUCCACCAAAAAGCUGCCGGAACUGAUAUAUGAAUUCAGCAAAGUCGCAGGAUACAAAAUCGAUGUACAGAAAUCAGUUGCAUUUCUAUACACCAAUAAUGAAGCAACAGAAAAAGAAAUCAAGGAAUCGAUCCCGUUUAUAAUUACACCAAGAACCACAAAAUACUUAGGAAUAAACGUAACCAGAGAUGUAAAAGAUCUGUAGGCUGAAAACUAUAGAAAACUUAUGAAGGGAAUUGAAGAAGACACAAAGGAAUGGAAAAACGUUCCAUGCUCAUGGACUGGAAGAAUAAAUAUUGUUAAAAUGUCAAUGCUACCGAAAGCAAUCUACACAUUCAAUGCAAUCCCAAUCAAAAUUGCACUGGCAUUCUUCUUAAAGCUAGAAGAAACAAUCCUGAAAUCUGUAUGGAACCACAAAAGACCCCGGAUUAGUGUCUUUUAAAAGAGGCCCCAGAGAGCUCCAUUCUUCCAGCUCCAUCCUUCCUUCUACCACACGAGGACACAAUGAGAAGAUGGCCAUUUAUGAACUAGUAAGUGGGCCCUCCCAGAUACUGAAUCUGUUGGUGCCUUGAUCUUGGACUUCCCAGCCUCCAGGGUAUGAGAAGUAGAUAUUUGUUGUGCAAGUCUCCCAGGCUUUGGUAUUUUUGUUCCAGUAGCCUGGAUGAACUAAGACAUGGGGGAUUCCCUGCUCAAUCUCCUUUUCACUUUAUGUAUUCCUCCCAAGAGAGAUCCUUCUUGUACAUGAUAUGAUUUCCACCACAAUUUGUGUGCUGACUAUUCAUAUUUCUGGGAGGUAGCUCAGAUCUCUCUCUUGAGCCCCAGGUGCACAUAUUCGACUCUGUUUCAGACAUCUUAAUCACAACAUAUCCCAAACUGAACUUAUCUUUCAUGUCCCACCCACUAAUUUAGUCCCCCAAGCCAACAAUCGGCUCUUUCUUUUCCCUUUCCCUCCUCCCCCCCGCUAAAAAACCAGGUAUGGACUUCUGCUGAUUCUGACUUCUUCCCAUCACCCUCUCUACUGCUGCUGCUGCUGAGUCUUUCAUUAUUGUGUAGCUGGAAUCUUCUAACAUCUCCUUACUUCUAAUCUCAUCCUCCUCUUCAUCAGCGUUCUUUCUAAUCUGUGGAAUGAAGCACAUCAUCCAUCAGCUCAAAAUCUUUACUUACUUCUCCUUGAAAGGGGUCGGGAUAAAACCCAAACUCCUGACCACACACACAAAAGCCUUAUUGAUCUGGACCUGGUUUCCUUUUUUUUGUUUGUUUCAGUCACACAAAAUAUCCUCAGUUUCCCAAUCUAGCCACGUUCUCUGCUUUCACAGAUGGUAUCAUAUUCAUCUUCCUUAUGUAACACACUCCCUUGCUCUUCAAAGGAGUCACACCUAGUGUCUGUCUCCCAGCAGCUUCCCCCGAUCACACAGUUUGUGUUGGGUGGUCCAUCCAUGUGGUCCCAUUAUUCUCCAUUUCAAAACCAUAUUUACACAUGAGACUGUGAGCUGCUUAAGAGCAGGCAGGUGUAGGGGCGCCUGGGUGGCUCAGUCGGUUAGGUGUCCGACUUCAGCUCAGGUCAUGAUCUCGUGGUCCGUGAGUUCGAGCCCCAUGUUGGGCUCUGUGCUGACAGCUCAGAGCCUGGAACCUGUUUCAGAUUCUGUGUCUCCCUCUCUCUCUGACCCUCCCCCAUUCAUGCUCUGUCUCUCUCUGUCUCAAAAAUAAAUAAACAUUAGAAAAAAAAUUUUAAAGAGAGCAGGCAGAUGUAUAGCUUUCAUUUCUACAACUUCAGAUGUAGCCCAAGAGAUAUCUAAUAGGGGUGACUGGGUGGCUCAUUUGAUUGAGCAUCUGACUCUUGAUUUCAGCUCGGGUCGUGAUCCCAGGGUCAUUGGCCUUGGAGUCAGCUUAAGAUUGUCUCUCUCUCUUCCUCUGUCCCUUUUCCCUGCUCUCUC